rnacentral:rRNA from 1 species
CAUCGGCCAAUCGCCUUAAGUUGAUCAUGGCUCAGAAUCAACGCUGGCGGCGUGCCUAACACAUGCAAGUCGAACGGGAAGGGGGGCUUCGGCUCCCCGGAGAGUGGCGUACGGGUGAGUAACACGUGGGUAAUCUGCCUUCGGGUGGGGAAUAACGAUCCGAAAGGGUCGCUAAUACCGCAUAACGCAGCGGCACCGCAUGGUGACAGUUGUUAAAGGGGGGGAUCUUCGGACCUCCUGCCUGAAGAGGAGCCCGCGCCCGAUUAGCUAGUUGGUGAGGUAACGGCUCACCAAGGCUUCGAUCGGUAGCCGGCCUGAGAGGGCGGUCGGCCACACUGGCACUGAGACACGGGCCAGACUCCUACGGGAGGCAGCAGUGGGGAAUUUUGGGCAAUGGGCGCAAGCCUGACCCAGCAACGCCGCGUGAAGGACGAAAUCCCUCUGGGAUGUAAACUUCGAAAGUCAGGAAAGAAAUCCUCACGGGGAAUAUCCGUGAGGGAUGACGGUACCUGACGUAAGCCCCGGCUAACUACGUGCCAGCAGCCGCGGUAAUACGUAGGGGGCAAGCGUUGUUCGGAAUUACUGGGCGUAAAGGGCGCGUAGGCGGCACGGCAAGUCAGGAGUGAAAGGCCUGGGCUCAACCGAGGAACUGCUUUUGAGACUGCCGAGCUAGAGUGCGGAAGGGGCAACCGGAAUUCCCAGUGUAGCGGUGAAAUGCGUAGAUAUUGGGAAAGACACCUGANGCGAAGGCNGGUUGCUGGGNCGACACUGACGCUGA